rnacentral:snoRNA from 1 species
ACGACCUUACUUGAACAGGAUCUGUUCUAUAGGUUGUACAUCCGUUUCCAUUGACACGAUGGAGACACGCACAUAAAUCUGGAAGAUGAUAGAAUGCUACUUGGUCAGGGUGUGAAUACUGGCUUUGGACUCCAUGGAGAUCCAUGAACCUUAGAGGAUCGCUCUCAUCUAGUCAUUGGCUGAUGAGAUGGCCAUGGGGCAGUCUGACAGACC